rnacentral:rRNA from 1 species
GGGGGAAUUUUCCGCAAUGGGCGAAAGCCUGACGGAGCAAUACCGCGUGAGGGAAGACGGCCUAUGGGUUGUAAACCUCUUUUUUCAGGGAGGAACAAAAUGACGUGUACCUGAAGAAUAAGCAUCGGCUAACUCCGUGCCAGCAGCCGCGGUAAGACGGAGGAUGCAAGUGUUAUCCGGAAUCACUGGGCGUAAAGCGUCUGUAGGUGGUUUGUUAAGUCAACUGUUAAAUCUUGAGGCUCAACUUCAAAUCAGCAGUCGAAACUAUCAGACUAGAGUAUAGUAGGGGUAAAGGGAAUUUCCAGUGGAGCGGUGAAAUGCGUAGAUAUUGGAAAGAACCCCGAUGGCGAAGGCACUUUACUGGGCUAUUACUAACACUCAGAGACGAAAGCUAGGGUAGCAAAUGGGAUUAGAUACCCCAGUAGUGCUAGCUGUAAACAAUGGAUA